rnacentral:rRNA from 1 species
AUACGGAGACUGCGAGCGUUAUUCGGAUUUACUGGGCGUAAAGGGUGCGCAGGCGGCCAAGUGUGUUAGGUGUGAAAUCCCGGGGCUUAACUCCGGAACUGCGCCUAAAACUACUUGGCUAGAGUAUUGGAGAGGUAAGCGGAACUCCAGGUGUAGCGGUGAAAUGCGUAGAUAUCUGGAGGAACACCAAAGGCGAAGGCAGCUUACUGGACAAUUACUGACGCUCAGGCACGAAAGCAUAGGUAGCGAAAGGGAUUAGAUACCCCUGUAGUCUAUGCCGUAAACGUUGUACACUAGGUUUUGGAGGAUUCGACCCCUUCAGGGCUCAAGCUAACGUGAUAAGUGUACCGCCUGAGGACUACGACCGCAAGGUUAAAACUCAAAGGAAUUGACGGGGCCCGCACAAGCGGUGGAACAUGUGGCUUAAUUCGAUGCAACGCGAAGAACCUUACCUAGGCUUGACAUGCACUGGACCGGGUAUGAAAGUACCCUUCCCUUCGGGGCCGGUGCACAGGUGCUGCAUGGC